rnacentral:rRNA from 1 species
GCACUAAGAAAAUUGAUAUUCUUUGUUUAUUUAUGUUUUACAUGACGAUUACUUUUAAGUCCGUCUUUAUAUUAGAUGUUAGAUCUAUAUGUUGAAAAUAAUUUUUACUGUAACUCGCCUUAAAUUCUUACAUAUUAGCUGCACUUUGAUUUGUGUUUUCCUUAGUUUAAAGUUUGAGAACUCGCCUUUAGGCGGGUUCAAAACAACGGUAUACAAGCUUAUUAAAGUAAGUAGUGUUUUCUUGGUGGUUGUCAAUUAUAUGGUAAGUUCCCCUAAAGUAUUUUCUCAGCCGCCAUAAUAUUUAAGUUUGUGCCUAAUAAAUAGCAUUACUCCUUGUUAUGCUAAUAAUAAUCUCUGUAUAACUGGGUAUCUAAUCCAGGUUUAGUUGCUGGAGUUUGGUUUAUUAUAAAGCAAAAUAAAUUUGGAUCAUUAUUAGCAUUUCACUGUAUAAUAAUUCUUUAUAGCUUAGCCGCAGUAAAACGGAAUCACACAUAACAAUUACUAUAGAUUUGUUUAUUAGGUUUGACCGCGGUUGCUGGCACCUAAUAAACCUAAACUAUAUAGUUAUCUAAAUCUAAUUUGCAUUAAUUUUUAAAAUUUUUAACUGGAUUAUUUUAUUUGUACUCCAUAUUAAGUUAGACUAUAAACCUAUAGUCUCAUUAUAUUAAAGUGAUUUGGUCUAUGGGGGAAUAUACCAUUUUAGA